rnacentral:misc_RNA from 1 species
AAAGUCGUAACAAGGUCUCCGUUGGUGAACCAGCGGAGGGAUCAUUACCGAGUUUCCAACUCACCAACCCAUUGUGAACUUAGUCCUUGCCUCGGCGGGGGGCGUCCGCGCCCGCCGCCGGGGGACCAAACUCUGCAUCUCUGAAUCUCUGAGUGAAAGAAAAUAAAUCAAAACCUUUAACAACGGAUCUCUUGGCUCUG